CCUACGGGAGGCAGCAGUGGGGAAUAUUGCACAAUGGGGGAAACUCGAUGCAGCCACGCCGCGUGAGUGGAGAAGUAUUUUGGUAUGUAAAGCUUCAUCAGCCGGGAAGAGACUGAAGGUACUUGCCUAAGAAGCCCCGGCUAAUUACGUGCCAGGAGCCGCGGUAAUAAGUAGGGGGCGAGCGUUGUCCGGCUUUACUGGGUGUAAAGGGGGCGUAGACGGUUCUACAAGUCUGAAGUGAAAGCCCGGGGCUUAACCGCGGAACUGCAUUGGAAACUGUGGUACUGGAGUGCUGGAGAGGCAAGCGGAAUUCCUAGUGUAGCGGUGAAAUGCGUAGAUAUUAGGAGGAACACCAGUGGCGAAGGCGGCUUGCUGGACAGUAACUGACGUUGAGGCUCGAAAGCGUGGGGAGCAAACAGGAUUAGAUACCCCGGUAGUC
rnacentral:rRNA from 1 species